GCAGUGGUGGCUCAGUGGUAGGAUGCUCACCUUCCAUGCGGGAGGCCCAGGUUCGAUUCCCAGCCAAUGCA
rnacentral:tRNA from 1 species